rnacentral:rRNA from 1 species
AACGAACGCUGGCGGCAGGCUUAACACAUGCAAGUCGAACGCUCCGCAAGGAGAGUGGCAGACGGGUGAGUAACACGUGGGAACGUACCCUUUACUACGGAACAACUCCGGGAAACUGGAGCUAAUACCGUAUGUGCCCUUUGGGGGAAAGAUUUAUCGGUAAAGGAUCGGCCCGCGUUGGAUUAGCUAGUUGGUGGGGUAAAGGCCUACCAAGGCGACGAUCCAUAGCUGGUCUGAGAGGAUGAUCAGCCACAUUGGGACUGAGACACGGCCCAAACUCCUACGGGAGGCAGCAGUGGGGAAUAUUGGACAAUGGGCGCAAGCCUAAUCCAGCCAUGCCGCGUGUGUGAUGAAGGCCUUAGGGUUGUAAAGCACUUUCACCGGAGAAGGUAAUGACGGUAUCCGGAGAAGAAGCCCCGGCUAACUUCGUGCAGCCGCCGCAGUAAGAC